rnacentral:lncRNA from 13 species
UUGUUCCAGUGGGCUCCCCUUCCUUCUGGGGCUCCUGUGGCUUCCACAAGGAGCCAGGCAGGGCCCUGCCCCUGGCUACAUCUGCCAAAUGCAAAUAGUUGCUAAAGUUAUUUAGUGUGUCCUCACGGCUCCUUUUUGUCACUGGUGUUCCCUAGGCAACCGCUGCUGGAAUGCAGUCAACUUCUAGAGGUUCUUCACAGGCAGGAAUAGAAAAUGGCUCUUGCUCACUUCUUGUUUGGGGGCCUCGCUGAGUGGGAUACUUACAUGGGAAACUAGAGUUCUUGUUUUCUUAUUUGAAAAGAGGACAGCAAGAGAAAUCUGACCAAACUGCCCCACAGAAGUGGAGGAGGUGGGAACUCAGGGUCCCUUUGCUACUUUCUCUGGAUGGAGCUUCAAGAUAAGGAAGUGGAGUCCAGAUAGGCUAAACCAGGGGUCCUCAACCCCCACACCGUGGACCAGUGUGGAACCAGACCAUCAAGCACGAGGAAGAGACACCAGGAUACCUGUGCACAGAGCAAAGACCACGUGAGGACACAGCGGGAAGACAGAAGGCAGGCAUCCGCGAGCAGGGAGAGAGGCCUUGGGAGAAACCAACCCCACUUACACCUUGAUCUCUGACUUUUAGCCUCUGGAACUGUGAGAAAAUAAAUGUCUGUUGUUUAAACCA